rnacentral:lncRNA from 1 species
AAUUCAAAUACUUUUUAGUCUUAGUUUAAAUAGGCGCCCACCUGUAUAACGAGAGGAAUAAUUUUCAUGUCUUAGUUUAAAUAGGCGCCCACCUGUAUAACGAGAGGAAUAAUUUUCAGUUUUAGUUUAAAUAGGCGCCCACCUGUAUAACGAGAGGAAUAAUUUUUCAGUCUUAGUUUAAAUAGGCGCCCACCUGUAUAACGAGAGGAAUAAUUUUCAUGUCUUAGUUUAAAUAGGCGCUCACCUGUAUAACGAGAGGAAUAAUUUUUCAGUCUUAGUUUAAAUAGGCGCCCACCUGUAUAACGAGAGGAAUAAUUUUCAGUCUUAGUUUAAAUAGGCGCCCACCUGUAUAACGAGAGGAAUAAUUUUCAUGUCUUAGUUUAAAUAGGCGCCCACCUGUAUAACGAGAGGAAUAAUUUUCAGUCUUAGUUUAAAUAGGCGCCCACCUAUAUAACGAGAGGAAUAAUUUUUCAGUCUUAGUUUAAAUAGGCGCCCACCUGUAUAACGAGAGGAAUAAUUUUCAUGUCUUAGUUUAAAUAGGCGCUCACCUGUAUAAUGAGAGGAAUA